GACGAACGCUGGCGGCGUGCCUAACACAUGCAAGUCGAGCGGAGAUAGACUGAUGGUAACUGAAGCUUAUCUUAGCGGCGGACGGGUGAGUAACACGUGGGCAACCUGCCUUGGAGUGGGGGAUAACACCGGGAAAUCGGUGCUAAUACCGCAUAACAUACACAAACUGCAUGGUAAGUGUAUCAAAGGGUAAUCCGCUUUAAGAUGGGCCCGCGGCUGAUUAGCUAGUUGGUAAGGUAACGGCUUACCAAGGCGACGAUCAGUAGCCGACCUGAGAGGGUGACCGGCCACACUGGAACUGAGACACGGCCCAGACUCCUACGGGAGGCAGCAGUAGGGAAUAUUGCGCAAUGGACGGAAGUCUGACGCAGCGACGCCGCGUGAGCGAUGAAGGUCUUCGGAUCGUAAAGCUCUGUCCUUGGGGAAGAAGGUCUUCGGACUUGACGGUACCCAAGAAGAAAGCCCCGGCUAACUACGUG
rnacentral:rRNA from 1 species